CGCUGCAGCAGUUGAUUUGUUCAAAUUUCAGUUUCAGUAAUUCUUAUUCUUGCUUUGUUUUUUUUAAUGACUUGAAAAAUAAAAGGCAAGAAACAAAACACUGUAGUUUUGUGUUUAAAAUAUAUUUCCGUGGUUCUUUUACAAAAUGUUGGUUUUGUCAGGUUUUGAAUUGUUUGCAUGUCAUUUGAGCCGCCAAGACCAUCACUGCACUUGAAACCCUGUCAAAAGAUAUUGGGCAAUGGGAUAGAACUCCAUUGAAAGGCUUCCUGAUUCCUGUUUUGAAGUGGUGGUUCCUCUACAUAUUACCCUAUGCAGAAAAUAACAGCAAAGGUUUCAGCGGAUAUUUUCUGAUCAUCGUGUUUUUAAAUUAUAUAUACAAGUGUUCGCCUUCGCCCGUCACCCUGUUGGCAUUAUUUUUAGAGUUUGCUCACCAGGGGCCCAGGGGGUCACUCUCACGAAUGGUAUUGGCAGUUCCUGGAAUUAUAGGCUACUACCCCUCGUGAUGGAAAAAUUGAAGAGCUAUUCUUGGAUGCAACGAAUUAAAUUCUCCCUUAAAUUCGCUUUUCCGGAUUGUCGCCUGCGGAGCAACUCUCACAUUCAUGACUCCCGCCGCUUGCGCCCUCUUCCCCCAACCACGAUGUAUCAGGAGAGGUGGGCAAACGCAGUAGGGCGCCCCCUCUGAAAACUGGGCCAACUUUCGGUAAUCAUUCACACUUCUGCCGCUAGGUUCUCUAGUGUUAGUGGCCCUGAAAUUGGGC